UCUCCGUAGGUGAACCUGCGGAGGGAUCAUUACAGAGUUCAUGCCCUACCGGGUAGAUCUCCCACCCUAUGUUAUUAUUACUUUGUUGCUUUGGCGGGCCGUUAGGCUCCGGCCCGACUACCGGCCCCGGCUGGUAAGCGCCCGCCAGAGAACCCAAAACCCUGAAUAUUAGUGUCGUCUGAGUACUAUAUAAUAGUUAAAACUUUCAACAACGGAUCUCUUGGUUCUGGCAUCGACGAAGAACGCAGC
rnacentral:misc_RNA from 1 species